AAGAAAUGAUUUUUCAAGUCAUCUAACUAGGCAUUCAGAGGCCACUGUGGCUGUGUUGGAGGAGGGGAAGCUGUAUUUCAAGCAGGCAGAAGAUUCUGGCCUCCAACAGGACCACACCUCCUAACCCUUCUAAAUAGUUAAUCAGCUGGGGACUAAGAAUGCAAAUGUGUGAGCCUAUGAGGCACAUUCCCAUUCCAGUGACCACGACAAGAAAGUGUGUUUCUCUGCAGCUUCCAGAAGGGAAAACAGCCUUACAAAUUUCUUGGCUUUAGCCCAGUCAAAUCUUUGUUGGAUUUAAAACCUACAGGUUAAUAAAAUUAAUGCAUUCAGUAAGCCACUAAACUAGUGGAAAUUUGUUAUGUCCACAAUAGAAAUACUGUCAAUUCUAUGUGGGAGGAAGAAGGAAAUGGCCACCAUAGUAGAGACAACUAUAUGUAUCACCUUGAAACAUGUACAUUGCCAUGGUUAAAAACAAAUAUGGUUAUAAGAAACACUACUCCUAGAGGCUCAGAAGGAAAUAAAGAACGGUUACAGUAAAUUGGAGGAAAGAUCUUUGGUACAUGGUGGCACAGUUUGGCAGGAUUGUCUCCUGUUUUGAGGAACACAUCAUUAACAAUGAACUUGUACAUUCAGCAGAGUGCUUUUGCAGUUACUGAGGACGGAAGGGCUUGGCUGGUGCUAGCCAGUAGGCAGAGGGUAUUUUUGAGAACUGUGUUAUUAGUAUACUUGAUGGUUUAUAGAUCCUUCAUGUAAAAAUCUGAAGUAAAGAAGUCAAAAAGUGUCAAUGAUAAAACAGAACCCUAUUGUGAUGAUUUGGGAAAUUUGGAGGCUGUACAAAUCACAAAUUCAGGAUUUGCGCUUCAUUGCUAGCUGCUUGGUUUCAUAAAAAAACCCAAACUCCCCAUAAAAUCAAGGAUUCACUGCUUGUUACCAGCUGCAUGGCUAUGUGUGAGGGACUCAGUCUCCCCAUCAAAUUCAAGAUUGUGUGGUUGUUGCCAACCGCAUAACUGUGUAAGGAACUUACUCUCUCCAUCAAGUUCAGGAUCUAUUGCUCAUUGCUAGUUGCAUGGUUUUGUGUGAGAGGAUUAGCCUCUGUAAGCAUCUGUGAAAAAUAUAAGAGCAUGUAUUCACAGAUGGCAUCUAUGCCAUAAAGCACCGGGCAAUGUUUAAUCUUCUUACAGUAAUCUCAGUAACUUGCCUCAUGCACCAUAUAUUUUGGGAGGACAAGUCUAUUUUUUCAAAACAAUUUCAAAACAAUACUCUAAUAUACUUAUUGCACC
rnacentral:lncRNA from 1 species